rnacentral:rRNA from 1 species
AUUGAACGCUGGCGGCAGGCCUAACACAUGCAAGUCGAACGGUAACAGGAAACAGCUUGCUGUUUCGCUGACGAGUGGCGGACGGGUGAGUAAUGUCUGGGAAACUGCCUGAUGGAGGGGGAUAACUACUGGAAACGGUAGCUAAUACCGCAUAACGUCGCAAGACCAAAGAGGGGGACCUUCGGGCCUCUUGCCAUCGGAUGUGCCCAGAUGGGAUUAGCUAGUAGGUGGGGUAACGGCUCACCUAGGCGACGAUCCCUAGCUGGUCUGAGAGGAUGACCAGCCACACUGGAACUGAGACACGGUCCAGACUCCUACGGGAGGCAGCAGUGGGGAAUAUUGCACAAUGGGCGCAAGCCUGAUGCAGCCGCGCCGCGUGUAUGAAGAAGGCCUUCGGGUUGUAAAGUACUUUCAGCGGGGAUGAAGGGAGUAAAGUGAAUACCUUUGCUCAUUGACGUUACCCGCAGAAGAAGCACCGGCUAACUCCGUG